rnacentral:rRNA from 1 species
GACGAACGCUGGCGGCGUGCUUAACACAUGCAAGUCGAACGGACUUAAGGGGCUUGCUUCUUAAGUUAGUGGCGCACGGGUGAGUAAUACAUCGGAACGUGCCCGAUCGUGGGGGAUAACGGAGCGAAAGCUUUGCUAAUACCGCAUACGAUCUACGGAUGAAAGCAGGGGACCGCAAGGCCUUGCGCGGACGGAGCGGCCGAUGGCAGAUUAGGUAGUUGGUGGGAUAAAAGCUUACCAAGCCGACGAUCUGUAGCUGGUCUGAGAGGACGACCAGCCACACUGGGACUGAGACACGGCCCAGACUCCUACGGGAGGCAGCAGCAAGGAAUCUUGGGCAAUGGGCGAAAGCCUGACCCAGCAACGCCGCGUGAGGGAUGAAGGCUUUCGGAUUGUAAACCUCUUUUCAUAGGGAAGAAU